CCUAGUAACCGUUUUUACGAAGUAAGCUAGGUUACACGCUUAUUUACUAUGGGAGCCCAGCUCUUAUAAAAUACAGUCACGACAUCUAAUGUGUGAAGUGGUGGUGAUAACAAGAAGUAAAUAAGCUAACUUGG
rnacentral:ncRNA from 1 species